CCUACGGGUGGCAGCAGUAGGGAAUAUUGCUCAAUGGGGGAAACCCUGAAGCAGCAACGCCGCGUGGAGGAUGAAGGCUUUCGGAUUGUAAACUCCUUUUGUUAGAGAAGAUAAUGACGGUCUCUAACGAAUAAGCACCGGCUAACUCCGUGCCAGCAGCCGCGGUAAUACGGAGGGGGCAAGCGUUAUUCGGAAUCACUGGGCGUAAAGGGCGCGUAGGCGGGAGAGCAAGUCAGAUGUGAAAUCCUAUGGCUUAACCAUAGAACUGCAUUUGAAACUGUUAUUCUAGAGUAUGGGAGAGGUAGGUGGAAUUCUUGGUGUAGGGGUAAAAUCCGUAGAGAUCAAGAGGAAUACUCAUGGCGAAGGCGACCUGCUAGAACAUAACUGACGCUGAUGCGCGAAAGCGUGGGGAGCAAACAGGAUUAGAUACCCUUGUAGUC
rnacentral:rRNA from 1 species